GUUCUCGUUUUUGCCACUGGCUGCGCAAGUAUUCAGAACGUAUAGAGCACUAUAGAGAUGAGUACUCUCAUCCGCCAUUUUCACUCCUACAGAGAAGACACCAGUAUGGUUUUGUAUGGUAAACAGAUAGAUUAAACUACAAAAUACUAUUCAGUGAUUGAUUUUUAAACAUGGAUAACCUCUCUAUUUGGAACGUUUCAGUAAUAAUUUGAUGAAAAGUAUGCCAGUAAAAAAGGAAGACAACAACAAAAGAUCAGUCGCUGCUAAAAGCAAAAUGAAGUAUGAAAGUGGAAUAAAAUCUGUUGACGAAGAGACCGUUGUGUCUUUGCUUGCAGGAAAUCUAUCUAUAUGAAAAUCUAUGAGGGCUUAAAUAGAGAGAAUGAAUGCAAUUUUAUAAGAAUAUAAAUCGUAUUCAGCAGCUUCAGAAUAUUUAAGCAAAUACAAUGUUUCAUAAUCAUGAACUUAAUUAAACAUGGUAAAAAUUGUAUAUAUUUAAAAAAAAAA